AAAUUGAAGAGUUUGAUCAUGGCUCAGAUUGAACGCUGGCGGCAGGCCUAACACAUGCAAGUCGAACGGUAACAGGAAUCAGCUUGCUGAUUCGCUGACGAGUGGCGGACGGGUGAGUAAUGUCUGGGAAACUGCCUGAUGGAGGGGGAUAACUACUGGAAACGGUAGCUAAUACCGCAUAACGUCGCAAGACCAAAGAGGGGGACCUUCGGGCCUCUUGCCAUCGGAUGUGCCCAGAUGGGAUUAGCUAGUAGGUGGGGUAACGGCUCACCUAGGCGACGAUCCCUAGCUGGUCUGAGAGGAUGACCAGCCACACUGGAACUGAGAUACGGUCCAGACUCCUACGGGAGGCAGCAGUGGGGAAUAUUGCACAAUGGGCGCAAGCCUGAUGCAGCCAUGCCGCGUGUAUGAAGAAGGCCUUCGGGUUGUAAAGUACUUUCAGCGGGGAGGAAGGGAGUAAAGUUAAUACCUUU
rnacentral:rRNA from 1 species